rnacentral:lncRNA from 1 species
AUUUCUGGAUUUAAUUUACUUGUAAUUAGAUAAUGUGAUAUAUACAGAAUAAUGUAUAUAGAAUAUAGCAUGUAGCACCUUUUAUAUCGCACAUGAUUUUCUUUUUAAUUAUCCAAUCUUAUAACAGUUAAGAAUAUUUGAAGUGUACUGUCUUCAAAAGUUGUAUAUAUAAAGUAAAAUUCUGUUAACAAUUCUGUCUUAGCAUAUAAAUAUUCUAACAAUCUUAAUUUUUCAAUACAACCUUUCUAUACAGCAAUAUACAACCAUAUCUAUGUAAACAUAGAAAACAGCAUAUUCUGAGGUUUGUAAUAACUCUCUGAAACUUACAUAUAUAUAUAUUACUGUGGAUUCAUUAUUAUUCGUGAGAUAACAAUUUUCGUGGCUUUCAUGGGUACAGGUGAAACACAAAAAAAAAAAAAAAUAUUCAAUGAAUUACAAAUUUUCUAUUAGGUAAUAUGCAGAUUUUGGCAAAACCAUGAAUAAAAUAUCCACGAACAUGCAAGUUUUACUUAAUCCACGAACAUGCAAGUUUUACUCAAUCUACAAAAAUUGAUAACAACGAAAAAAAUAAAUGAAUCCACAGUUAAUAUUUUAAUCAUUGCUACUUGGAUAAGAAGAAAUUAUUUAAAAGAGAGCAACUGUUAUGUACAAAAAUUUAAAAUUUGUAUUGCACAUAAAAUAUUUAUAACCUGAUUCUACAAAUUUCUAAAAUGCUAAAAAUAUAUUCACAGCAAUAUAAAAAUUAAUAUGUUUGUAUAAUAUCAGAAAUGAGCCAAGUCCUAUCACAGGUUUCUAAAUUACUGUAAUAAAAUGGACCUUCUCACACAUUAAUGUGACAAAAACUAAACCUCAAAAACUUUCUAUGAUACUAAAUACACAUAAAAUGUAUGAAGACAUUACCAUGAUAAUAAUAUAACUAACAUAGAAAAUAACAAACUGAAAUAUCAGGCUCACAACCUCUUUAUGGAAUGUCAUCAAAAGUGAAGUCUUCAUACAGGAUACAACAUUUUUAACAAUUUAAUUUACAUUUUGAUCACAUGAUUCAGUGUUAAAAAAUGAAGAUACAAAAUUCAAGACUUUUUAUCAACAUCGUAAACUUUAAGGUGUCCUUGUUCGUAUUUAGAAAAAAUAUUUUCCAAAUUAUUUUUUUCUUUGUUUCAUUGGCCUUGUCACAAUGAGUCACGACUAUAAAUUUUCCCUUACAGAAUAACACUUAGUUUACUAAGCCUUUAUUCCACACAAAAAGUAGUGGCAGAUCCAGAGAGUGGGGGUCCACUGACUGCCUAAAAGGGAGCCUGCUCCGGUCAAGCUUCCGUGAUUCCCUAUAUAAUCAACAAAAAUUUUCCCAGAAAAGGGGGGGGGGGGGGGGUGGAGGAGCUAAAUCCUAAAUCCCCACUGAAAUAUUCUAUUUGCAAUAACAGUCAUCAGUAAUCUAAUAAUAAAAUUAUUUUGUUAGUGACAAAAGUCUAUUGAAACAACCCCAUUCAAAAAUACAUUUCAGAUCUAUUGGCAUUUUUUUUUCCAGGAAGGUUUUUUUCAAAUGGAUUUAAAUUAUAUAUGAUGGAUUGAGAUUUCUGUUAAGGUGUUAUUGUCAUCACACAUUUAACCACCUGUCACAUGUAUUAACUUUGAUUACAUAAAUAACAUAUUAGUGUUUACUAAAAUAAACUAUUUAUAACUUUGUAAAAUAAUCUUACUAUCAUCAGUCAUAAUAAAUUAGUUUCUUUUCUGUAAAGGCUUUUUUUUUUAAUAUUUCUUAACUGAUGCUAACGUUCUCAAUCCAUUAUUUCUUUUUUAUUCAACGUGUGGUUAAGUUGUUCACACUUGUUCUUUUACAGUGCUUAUCCAGUGACCUUUGGGGUAUCACAAUAGCAAUGGCCAAAACAGUUUACCAAAUUGCAGUUAGAUUUCUUCUCCAACUAACUGAUCAACUGGUAAAAUGUUUUACCAGAUUGCUCAAGUGAAAUGUUGUUAGUAUGAAGUGAGUGCUGUGAAAUCAAAAGUAAUACUUACCAUCCAGUUAGUUGAUACCUUUGUCAUUUGUUUCAAACACAAAAAUGACUUACUAUAGUAUGAGUCACUGAAUAAGAAGGUCUAAUUUUGAAAUGGAAACUUCUAUCAUAAAUAGAUUUUAUAAAUAAAUAGUUCAAACCAUUGUUUUGUAGAUGUAUAUUUUAUAGCUUUGUCUUCUAAGACAAAGUUAUUGUAGCUUUGUCUUCUAAGACAAAGUUAUUGUGUAAUUAUGAUUCGUAUAAUAUUUUCUAUACAAAUUACUGAUCUGCUGGCAUUAAAGGGAAAUAAUUUUUAUUGAGUUAUUGUACACUAAAAAAUUAAUCAAUGAUACCUGGCUUCUGAUUUUGCCUACAAUUUUUUUCAAAAUUUUGAUCAUCUUAAAAAUAAAUUUCAUUGUUUCUUUUCAAAACAGAGGAUAAAAGUUUAAUAAUCAUAAAAGUAAUGUUACAAACAAAUUAAAUGAGGAAAGUUGAUAUUUGUCAGACAAAAAUUGUGACAACAUUUUGCUGAUUUUCAGUAAUGUAAAUUAUUUCCCUUUAAUGGUAGCAGAUAAGUAAUUGCUUUAGAAAAAAAAAUCCAAAUUACAUUUGCACUAACUUGUUGUUGGAAAACGGAGCUAUUAAUUAUAGACUUACAAAAACAUGUUUUCAACUAUUUAUUUAUAAAAUCUAUUUAUGAUAGAGGUUUCCAUGUCAAAAUUAGACCUUCUUAUUCAGUGACUCAUAUUAUAGUAAGUCAUUUUUGUGUUUGAAACAAAUGACAAAGAUAUCAACUCACUGGAUCUGGAUGGUAAGUAUUACUUUUGAUUUUACAGCACUCACUUCAUACUAACAACAUUUCACUUGAGUAAUCUGCUAAAAUAAUUUACCAGUUGAUCAGUUAGUUGGAGAAGAAAUCUAACUGCAAUUUGGUAAACUGUUUUGUCCAUUGCUAUUGUGAUACCCCAAAGGUCACUGGAUAAGCACUGUAAGAAAAACUCAAUUACAAUGUAUAGGCAAACAUUCCUGAUCAGUCAAUCAAUCAUUACUAAAUAUUUUAUAUUUAUCAAAUGAAUUGUGGAUAAUAAACCCAUUUUGGCAAAGGAAACAUUAUGGAGCCAUUUUUUUUUAGCCCAAAUAUUUUGACCAAGGAUUUGUAUAGAAAUCUGUCUGAUACUGUUACAACACAUUUUUAUGCCCCACCAUACGAUAGUAGAGGGGCAUUAUGUUUUAUGGUCUGUGUGUCCGAUCGUUCGUCCGUCUGUUCUUUCAGUUUUUUGUGGUUUUUGAUGAAGUUGAAGUCCAAUCCACUUGAAACUUAGUACACAUGUUCCCUAUGAUAUGAUCUUUCUAAUUUAAAUGUCAAAUUAGUGUUUUUUACUCAAAUUUCACGGUCCACUGAACAUAGAAAAUGAUAGUGCGAGUGGGGCAUCUGUGUACUUGGGACACAUUCUUGUUUUAUCUCUCAUAUUCAUUAACUUAUCAAGUUGUUAACAGUUUAUCUAACCAUUUGUUCAAUAGCAUUUGUGAAAUGAAUCAAUUCUUUAAAAAAUUUGCUAUGUACAAUCUUUUCCAAAUAUGAAAGGUCACUGUCUAUAGUUAUAUAUAAUGCUGAUGAUUUUUAUAUACAAUGUUACAAUAUUUCUGACUAGAUGACAUAACCAGAGCUAUAUCUUUAUUCUUAAAUACAAAUAAAUACUUUCUAUUUAUAGUAAUCCAAGUUACAAUUCAAAGAUUCAAUUAUAAAUUUUCAGAUCUUAAGAAUUUUUUGUCAACAAACAAAAAUAAAAUUUUUUGUAGUCCUGUAGAUUGAAAAUAUAUUGCAUGUUGUUCAAUUUGAUAAUAUUAUUUGACAAGGUAAAAUACAAGACAUGAUAUUGAUAGAAGCAUUCUUAUUUAAAGCACUAACCCAGUGAAAUUUCUCUCCAAAAAAAUUGAAAGCAAGAAUAUUUUACAGAAAACCAUGAUUAUUUAUAGCUGCAUAAUAUAACUGGUUAUUUUUAAGACUUUUUAUUUUAAUUUUGGCAAAGUCAAUGAUUCACUUGUGUAUAAAACUCCAUUUUUUCUUUAAAGGUAUAAAAUAUAACAAGUAAUGACAAAAAUCUCAUUUUGUACUUAUGUUAUCCAGAUUGUGCUUUCCACUUUUGACAUGUGUUCAAUGGUGGUAUAACUUUCUU